rnacentral:rRNA from 1 species
AGAGUUUGAUCCUGGCUCAGGACGAACGCUGGCGGCGUGCCUAAUACAUGCAAGUCGAACGAAACUUUCUUACACCGAAUGCUUGCAUUCACCGUAAGAAGUUGAGUGGCGGACGGGUGAGUAACACGUGGGUAACCUGCCUAAAAGAAGGGGAUAACACUUGGAAACAGGUGCUAAUACCGUAUAUCUCUAAGGAUCGCAUGAUCCUUAGAUGAAAGAUGGUUCUGCUAUCGCUUUUAGAUGGACCCGCGGCGUAUUAACUAGUUGGUGGGGUAACGGCCUACCAAGGUGAUGAUACGUAGCCGAACUGAGAGGUUGAUCGGCCACAUUGGGACUGAGACACGGCCCAAACUCCUACGGGAGGCAGCAGUAGGGAAUCUUCCACAAUGGACGCAAGUCUGAUGGAGCAACGCCGCGUGAGUGAAGAAGGUCUUCGGAUCGUAAAACUCUGUUGUUAGAGAAGAACACGAGUGAGAGUAACUGUUCAUUCGAUGACGGUAUCUAACCAGCAAGUCACGGCUAACUACGUGCCAGCAGCCGCGGUAAUACGUAGGUGGCAAGCGUUGUCCGGAUUUAUUGGGCGUAAAGGGAACGCAGGCGGUCUUUUAAGUCUGAUGUGAAAGCCUUCGGCUUAACCGGAGUAGUGCAUUGGAAACUGGAAGACUUGAGUGCAGAAGAGGAGAGUGGAACUCCAUGUGUAGCGGUGAAAUGCGUAGAUAUAUGGAAGAACACCAGUGGCGAAAGCGGCUCUCUGGUCUGUAACUGACGCUGAGGUUCGAAAGCGUGGGUAGCAAACAGGAUUAGAUACCCUGGUAGUCCACGCCGUAAACGAUGAUUACUAGGUGUGGGGGGACUGACCCCUUCCGUGCCGGAGUUAACACAAUAAGUAAUCCACCUGGGGAGUACGACCGCAAGGUUGAAACUCAA